UACGAAGGGGGCUAGCGUUGCUCGGAAUCACUGGGCGUAAAGGGUGCGUAGGCGGGUCUUUAAGUCAGGGGUGAAAUCCUGGAGCUCAACUCCAGAACUGCCUUUGAUACUGAAGGAUCUUGAGUUCGGGAGAGGUGAGUGGAACUGCGAGUGUAGAGGUGAAAUUCGUAGAUAUUCGCAAGAACACCAGUGGCGAAGGCGGCUCACUGGCCCGAUACUGACGCUGAGGCACGAAAGCGUGGGGAGCAAACAGG
rnacentral:rRNA from 1 species